rnacentral:rRNA from 1 species
AACGUAGGAGGCAAGCGUUAUCCGGAGUGACUGGGCGUAAAGAGCGUGUAGGCGGUUGAGUAAGUUGCGUGUGAAAGCGCCCGGCUAAACUGGGCGAGGACAGGCAAGACUGCUGAGCUAGAGGCCGAUAGAGGGGUGCGGAAUUCCGGGUGUAGCGGUGAAAUGUGUAGAGAUCCGGAGGAACACCAGUGGUGCAGACGGCGCCCUGGAUCGGACCUGACGCUGAGACGCGAAAGCGUGGGGAGCGAACGGG